CCUACGGGAGGCAGCAGUGGGGAAUAUUGGACAAUGGGGGGAACCCUGAUCCAGCCAUGCCGCGUGUGUGAAGAAGGCCCUCGGGUUGUAAAGCACUUUCAGUGAGGAAGAACGCCUGGUGGUUAAUACCCAUCAGGAAAGACAUCACUCACAGAAGAAGCACCGGCUAACUCCGUGCCAGCAGCCGCGGUAAUACGGAGGGUGCGAGUGUUAAUCGGAAUUACUGGGCGUAAAGCGCGCGUAGGUGGCUUGAUAAGCCGGUUGUGAAAGCCCCGGGCUCAACCUGGGAACGGCAUCCGGAACUGUCAAGCUAGAGUGCAGGAGAGGAAGGUAGAAUUCCCGGUGUAGCGGUGAAAUGCGUAGAGAUCGGGAGGAAUACCAGUGGCGAAGGCGGCCUUCUGGACUGACACUGACACUGAGGUGCGAAAGCGUGGGUAGCAAACAGGAUUAGAUACCCGUGUAGUC
rnacentral:rRNA from 1 species